CAGUAGCCGCGGUAAUACAGAGGGUGCGAGCGUUAAUCGGAAUUACUGGGCGUAAAGCGUGCGUAGGCGGCUUCUUAAGUCGGAUGUGAAAUCCCUGAGCUUAACUUAGGAAUUGCAUUCGAUACUGGGAAGCUAGAGUAUGGGAGAGGAUGGUAGAAUUCCAGGUGUAGCGGUGAAAUGCGUAGAGAUCUGGAGGAAUACCGAUGGCGAAGGCAGCCAUCUGGCCUAAUACUGACGCUGAGGUACGAAAGCAUGGGGAGCAAACAGGAUUAGAUACCCCAGUAGUCCCUGUCUCUUAUAC
rnacentral:rRNA from 1 species